rnacentral:rRNA from 1 species
AGUGAACGCUGGCGGUAGGCCUAACACAUGCAAGUCGAACGGCAGCACAGUAAGAGCUUGCUCUUACGGGUGGCGGGUGGCGGACGGGUGAGGAAUACAUCGGAAUCUACUUUUUCGUGGGAGUUAACGAAGGGAAACUUACGCUAAUACCGCAUACGACCUACGGGUGAAAGCAGGGGAUCUUCGGACCUUGCGCGAUUGAAUGAGCCGCUGUCGGAUUUGCUAGUUGGCGGGGUAAAGGCCCACCAAGUCGACGAUCCGUAGCUGGUCUGAGAGGAUGGUCAGCCACACUGGAACUUGGACACGGUCCAGACGCCUACGGGAGGCAGCAGUGGGGAAUAUUGGACAAUGGGCGCAAGCCUGAUCCAGCCAUACCGCGUGGGUGAAGAAGGCCUUCGGGUUGUAAAGCCCUUUUGUGGGGAAAGAAAAGCAGCAGGUUAAUACCCCGCUGUUCUGACGGUACCCAAAGAAUAAGCACCGGCUAACUUCGUG